AAAAUCUUUAAUUAAAUAAAAAUUCGAAAAUGCAAUAAAAAUAACAUAAAAUAUUCAAAAAUUCAAUAAAAAUAACAUAAAAAUGAAGGUAGAGAAACUCUUUCAGAAGAAGGGACGUCCAACAAAUUUGACUCAGGAUCCCAGUUAAGGAAAUGAGAUUUAGGCAGUUUCUUAUUUGGCUCAAGAAUGUUUGGGGUUAUGGUCCGGAAACUGCAUCCUUAUACCUGUCACAUGCAUGAGUAUUAGUUGUACUCAUAGCUGCAUCUUUAUGUGGAAUGGGGUUAGUAUAUAAGAUUUGUGGCAGAAUGAACAGUUCUGGGUUCAUUUAAUGAGGAUAUGGACUUUGUUGAGCUCUUUGGACAUCACUUCUCAUCCCAAACUUAGAAUAAAAGAAAGACAUUGAUGCUCCCAAAUACCAAAGAAGCAUGACGAUGAUUGAUGAUCUGUGAUGGAUUUGCAAGAAAAGGAGCCUGAGUUCUACACCAAUGAUAGUAUAAAAUGUGUUAUUCUAAAUACAGUUGGUGGCUACUAUACAGCUCUAAGGGACCACACUUCUUGAUAAAUGGUGGCAAAAAAGAGCAUGCAAAUAUCAAUGUUUGCUGUAAUGAUGUUUCAAGGUGUUGCCACCUAUGUAUAAGUAAAUGCUUCUCCUAUUUUG